rnacentral:rRNA from 1 species
AUUGAACGCUGGCGGCAUGCCUUACACAUGCAAGUCGAACGGCAGCACGGGAGCAAUCCUGGUGGCGAGUGGCGAACGGGUGAGUAAUACAUCGGAACGUGCCCAAUCGUGGGGGAUAACGCAGCGAAGGCUGUGCUAAUACCGCAUACGAUCUACGGAUGAAAGCAGGGGAUCGCAAGACCUUGCGCGAAUGGAGCGGCCGAUGGCAGAUUAGGUAGUUGGUGAGGUAAAGGCUCACCAAGCCGUCGAUCUGUAGCUGGUCUGAGAGGACGACCAGCCACACUGGGACUGAGACACGGCCCAGACUCCUACGGGAGGCAGCAGUGGGGAAUUUUGGACAAUGGGCGAAAGCCUGAUCCAGCCAUGCCGCGUGCAGGAUGAAGGCCUUCGGGUUGUAAACUGCUUUUGUACGGAACGAAACGGCCUUUUCUAAUAAAGAGGGCUAAUGACGGUACCGUAAGAAUAAGCACCGGCUAACUACGUGCCAGCAGCCGCGGUAAUACGUAGGGUGCAAGCGUUAAUCGGAAUUACUGGGCGUAAAGCGUGCGCAGGCGGUUAUGUAAGACAGUUGUGAAAUCCCCGGGCUCAACCUGGGAACUGCAUCUGUGACUGCAUAGCUAGAGUACGGUAGAGGGGGAUGGAAUUCCGCGUGUAGCAGUGAAAUGCGUAGAUAUGCGGAGGAACACCGAUGGCGAAGGCAAUCCCCUGGACCUGUACUGACGCUCAUGCACGAAAGCGUGGGGAGCAAACAGG